AUUGAACGCUGGCGGCAUGCCUUACACAUGCGAGUCGAACGGCAGCGCGGACUUCGGUCUGGCGGCGAGUGGCGAACGGGUGAGUAAUACAUCGGAACGUACCCUGUUGUGGGGGAUAACUAGUCGAAAGAUUAGCUAAUACCGCAUACGACCUGAGGGUGAAAGUGGGGGACCGCAAGGCCUCACGCAGCAGGAGCGGCCGAUGUCUGAUUAGCUAGUUGGUGGGGUAAAGGCCCACCAAGGCGACGAUCAGUAGCUAGUCUGAGAGGACGAUCAGCCACACUGGGACUGAGACACGGCCCAGACUCCUACGGGAGGCAGCAGUGGGGAAUUUUGGACAAUGGGGGCAACCCUGAUCCAGCAAUGCCGCGUGUGUGAAGAAGGCCUUCGGGUUGUAAAGCACUUUUGUCCGGAAAGAAAUCGCGCUGGUUAAUACCUGGCGUGGAUGACGGUACCGGAAGAAUAAGCACCGGCUAACUACGUG
rnacentral:rRNA from 1 species